rnacentral:lncRNA from 1 species
GAUAAAAGUAUAUGCGCGCUUUAAAUUGUCGAAGUUGCGCAGGAUCUGCUGGAUUUCCGCUGUCUUUCUACCGUCAGAUUAUGCUGCCUAUCUACACGCAAAUGGUUAUCAGUGUAGUUUUAUUAGGCUAGUGUUCUAACGGAGAGUGUAACGACGAAUACACAAGAUAUGUGACAUAGUUUAUACUUAAUAAUUUUAUAAUUUUAUAUUCGCUACUUUGUACCAAAGGGAACGGAAAAUUAAGAAACAGGAUAUAACUAGAAGGAAAAAAAACGGAUAACGAAUGGAGUUAGAUUAAGUGAGACGAUACUAAAACUAUAUGGAAGACAAAGAAAUAAGACUAAUAACGUCGACGCGAUAACGUAACAAAGGCAAUAAGGUUGAUUGGGUCUUUUAUACGGGUUAAAUUUAUUCGAAAGUACUAGAAUAAUUUAUUGGACGGAGUGGUUGAUCUGAACUCUAUGUAGUUCAUGAUCGGAAAUCUUGCCCGCGGUGAUUUGGCCAUCUGACGAGCGCAUGUUCCAUAGUUGCAGACGGACGUCACGUGGUCGAACCUGUGUAAGAUACUUUUAUAUCCAGAAGUUCCCAACAUAAAGCUAUAUUGAUCGAAAAUUCAGUAUAAAUUGUCGGCGAGGAUGGAUGUGGUGCAGCACAGGAGAAAUGAACUGUGACGAAUAACAGCAAGCAGCAGCAGAAGGGUGAAAUAAAGAAAAACAGGAAGAAGAAGCGCAUGAAUAUGUCAAAUAUGUAAAAACAUUGUUGUAGGUUAGAAGCGUGAAAUUUGAAACAAGUAAGAAAGGAACGAAAAAUUGAGGUUUGUUUGCGAAAUGGGAAUAGAAUAGAUAAUAGGUAAUACGUAAGGCAAUAUAAUUUUGUGGAUGGUAGAAUAGAUUUGUUUGAAUUCUAGGAGUCUAAAGAACAAAUAAAGAUACAUUUAGGAGAUAUAUGUGUGCAUUGUUUAUUCGACCAUUGACCAUAAAUUGUGAAAGUAGGCUUUAAAAAGAUAAAUGACAGAUAGAAUAACUUUUAAAGAUUAAGAAUAUGGUUGCGUUAAGAAAGGCGUAAUUGUGAAACGUAUGGAUAAUGGAAUAAAAUACCAUUACGAAAGGUAAUAAUUAUAUCUGGAAAUAUAUUAAUAAGGAAUAACACGAUUGGAAUCUUGUAAUUAUACGGAUAAUAUAUGGAAAGUGGUUAACGUUAAAUGACUUCCAUUUAAAGGAACGAAAGAAUUAUAGGAAAUAUGCUGGUAAUUACAUCCUUGGUGUAAGCUUGGAUGAGAAUUAUAGUGCGUUACAAAAUCUGACAGGAAAGAAGAACGUCGGAAGAAGGUUUGGUGGAAGGGAAUAGAGAGAAAGAAAAUUUGUUGAAAGGUGUAAUGUUAUUUGAGAAAGGAAAGUUGGCAUAGAAGGAAGAGAGAAAUGUAUAGGACUUGAUAAAUUUAAUAAGUGGUAAAUGGGUGGUGAGUAGAAAGAAGGGCAGAGAAUAAUAGAGUGUAUCUAAAAUAUUUCUCUGAUGAAAAGGUAGAAGACAAAAGAGCG